AUGCCUCAGUACGGCGAGUGAAGCGGCAAAAGCUCAAAUUUGAAAUCUGCGUAAGCCGAGUUGUAAUUUGAAGAUGGCUACUUUGGUAAUGGCUCUUGUCUAUGUUCCUUGGAACAGGACGUCACAGAGGGUGAGAAUCCCGUGCGAUGAGAUGUCCAUUACCGUGUAAAGUGCUUUCGAAGAGUCGAGUUGUUUGGGAAUGCAGCUCUAAGUGGGUGGUAAAUUCCAUCUAAAGCUAAAUAUUGGCGAGAGACCGAUAGCGAACAAGUACAGUGAUGGAAAGAUGAAAAGAACUUUGAAAAGAGAGUGAAAAAGUACGUGAAAUUGUUGAAAGGGAAGGGCUUGAGAUCAGACUUGGUAUUUUGUAUGGCUUGCUUUCGGGCGGGUCCUCUGCAGUUUACUGGGCCAGCAUCGGUUUGGGUGGCAGGAUAAUAGCAUAGGAAUGUGGCUCUACUUCGGUGGAGUGUUAUAGCCUUUGUUGAUACUGCCUGCCUAGACCGAGGACUGCGUCUUUUGACUAGGAUGCUGGCAUAAUGAUCCUAAGCCGCCCGUCUUGAAACACGGACCA
rnacentral:rRNA from 1 species